rnacentral:rRNA from 1 species
GAUGAACGCUGGCGGCGUGCCUAAUACAUGCAAGUCGAGCGAACAGACGAGGAGCUUGCUCCUCUGACGUUAGCGGCGGACGGGUGAGUAACACGUGGAUAACCUACCUAUAAGACUGGGAUAACUUCGGGAAACCGGAGCUAAUACCGGAUAAUAUAUUGAACCGCAUGGUUCAAUAGUGAAAGACGGUUUUGCUGUCACUUAUAGAUGGAUCCGCGCCGCAUUAGCUAGUUGGUAAGGUAACGGCUUACCAAGGCAACGAUGCGUAGCCGACCUGAGAGGGUGAUCGGCCACACUGGAACUGAGACACGGUCCAGACUCCUACGGGAGGCAGCAGUAGGGAAUCUUCCGCAAUGGGCGAAAGCUUGACGCAGCCACGCCGCGUGAGUGAUGAAGGUCUUCGGAUCGUAAAACUCUGUUAUUAGGGAAGAACAAAUGUGUAAGUAACUAUGCACGUCUUGACGGUACCUAAUCAGAAAGCCACGGCUAACUACGUG